UGUAGCUCAGUGGUAGAGCACUUGCCUAGCAUGUGUGAGGCCCUGGGUUCCAUCCCCAGCA
rnacentral:tRNA from 1 species